UAAAAAGCUUCUUCUCAUCGAAAGAAACAAUCAGUGAGGUGAAUAGAGAGCUUACUAAUUGGGAACAAAUUCUUACCACACAUAUGUCAGAUAGAGCAUUAAUCUCUAGAAUAUAUAAAGAACUCAAAAAUCUUAAUACCAAAAAUAAUAAUAAUAAUAACCCAGUCAAUAAAUGGGCCAAGGAACUGAACAGACACUUCUUAGAAGAAGCUUUACAAUCAAUCAACAAAUAUAUGAAAAAAUGUUCAACAUCUCUAGCAAUUAGAGAGAUGCAAAUCAAAACUACUCUAAAAAAUUCAUCUCACUCCAGUCAGAAUGGCAGCUAUUAAGAAUACAAACAACAAUAAGUGUUGGCGAGGAUGUGGGGGAAAAGGCACAUUCAUACAUUGCUGGUGUGAAUGCAAAUUGGUACAACCAAUCUGAAAAGCAGUAUGGAGGUUCCUUGGAAAACUUGGAAUGGAACCACCAUUUGACCCAGCUAUCCCACUCUUUGGUUUAUACUCAAAGGACUUAAAAACAGCAUACUACAGGGACACAGCCACAUCAAUGUUUACAGCAGCUCAAUUCACAAUAGCUAAACUGUGGAGCCAACCUAGAUGCUCUUCAGUAGAUGAAUGGAUAAAGAAAUUGGUAUAUAUACACAAUGAAAUAUUACUCAACAUUAAAAAAAAAAUCAUGGCAUUUGCAGGUAAAUGGAAGAAGUUGGAGGAUAUUUUGCUAAGUGAAGUUAGC
rnacentral:lncRNA from 1 species